rnacentral:rRNA from 1 species
GACGAACGCUGGCGGCGUGCUUAACACAUGCAAGUCGAACGGAAAGGCCCUGCUUUUGUGGGGUGCUCGAGUGGCGAACGGGUGAGUAACACGUGAGUAACCUGCCCUUGACUUUGGGAUAACUUCAGGAAACUGGGGCUAAUACCGGAUAGGAGCUCCUGCUGCAUGGUGGGGGUUGGAAAGUUUCGGCGGUUGGGGAUGGACUCGCGGCUUAUCAGCUUGUUGGUGGGGUAGUGGCUUACCAAGGCUUUGACGGGUAGCCGGCCUGAGAGGGUGACCGGCCACAUUGGGACUGAGAUACGGCCCAGACUCCUACGGGAGGCAGCAGUGGGAGAUAUUGCACGAUGGGCGGAAGCCUGAUGCAGCAACGCCGCGUGCGGGAUGACGGCCUUCGGGUUGUAAACCGCUUUCGCCUGUGACGAAGCGUGAGUGACGGUAAUGGGUAAAGAAGCACCGGCUAACUACGUG